rnacentral:rRNA from 1 species
AACGAACGCUGGCGGCAUGCCUAACACGUGCAAGUCGAACGAGACCUUCGGGUCUAGUGGCGCACGGGUGCGUAACGCGUGGGAACCUGCCCUUAGGUUCGGAAUAACUCCCCGAAAGGGGUGCUAAUACCGGAUAAUGUCUUCGGACCAAAGAUUUAUCGCCUUUGGAUGGGCCCGCGUUGGAUUAGCUAGUUGGUAGGGUAAAAGCCUACCAAGGCGACGAUCCAUAGCUGGUCUGAGAGGAUGAUCAGCCACACUGGGACUGAGACACGGCCCAGACUCCUACGGGAGGCAGCAGUGGUGAAUAUUGGACAAUGGGCGAAAGCCUGAUCCAGCAAUGCCGCGUGAGUGAUGAAGGCCUUAGGGUUGUAAAGCUCUUUUACCCGGGAUGAUAAUGACAGUACCGGGAGAAUAAGCUCCGGCUAACUCCGUG